rnacentral:rRNA from 1 species
UACGUAGGCAGCAAGCGUUGUUCGGAGUUACUGGGCGUAAAGAGUGCGUAGGUGGUGCCCUAAGUCUGUUGUGAAAUCUCCCGGCUUAACUGGGAGGGUGCGGUGGAAACUGGGGUGCUUGAGUGUGGGAGAGGUAAGCGGAAUUCCUGGUGUAGCGGUGAAAUGCGUAGAUAUCAGGAGGAACACCGGUGGUGUAGACGGCUCACUGGACCACGACUGACACUGAGGCACGAAAGCGUGGGUAGCAAACAGG